rnacentral:tRNA from 1 species
GGGCCGGUGAUCUAGCGGUUAUGAUGCCGCCUUCACACGGCGGAUGUCAGGAGUUCGAAUCUCCUCCGGCCCACCA